GUGCUCGCUUCGGUAGCACAAAAACUAAAAUUGGAACGAUACAGAGAAGAUUAGUAAGGCCCCUGAGCAAGGAAGACAUGCAAAUUCAUGAAACAUUCCAUAUUUUU
rnacentral:snRNA from 1 species